rnacentral:rRNA from 1 species
UACGUAGGGUGCAAGCGUUGUCCGGAAUUAUUGGGCGUAAAGAGCUCGUAGGCGGUUCGUCGCGUCGGCUGUGAAAUCCCGAGGCUCAACCUCGGGUCUGCAGUCGAUACGGGCGGACUGGAGUUCGGCAGGGGAGACUGGAAUUCCUAGUGUAGCGGUGAAAUGCGCAGAUAUCAGGAGGAACACCGGUGGCGAAGGCGGGUCUCUGGGCCGAUACUGACGCUGAGGAGCGAAAGCGUGGGGAGCGAACAGG